rnacentral:rRNA from 1 species
GAUGAACGCUGGCGGCGUGCCUAAUACAUGCAAGUCGAGCGAACGGACGAGAAGCUUGCUUCUCUGAUGUUAGCGGCGGACGGGUGAGUAACACGUGGAUAACCUACCUAUAAGACUGGGAUAACUUCGGGAAACCGGAGCUGAUACCGGAUAAUAUUUUGAACCGCAUGGUUCAAAAGUGAAAGACGGCCUUGCUGUCACUUAUAGAUGGAUCCGCGCUGCAUUAGCUAGUUGGUAAGGUAACGGCUUACCAAGGCAACGAUGCAUAGCCGACCUGAGAGGGUGAUCGGCCACACUGGAACUGAGACACGGUCCAGACUCCUACGGGAGGCAGCAGUAGGGAAUCUUCCGCAAUGGGCGAAAGCCUGACGGAGCAACGCCGCGUGAGUGAUGAAGGUCUUCGGAUCGUAAAACUCUGUUAUUAGGGAAGAACAUAUGUGUAAGUAACUGUGCACAUCUUGACGGUACCUAAUCAGAAAGCCACGGCUAACUACGUG